GACGAACGCUGGCGGCGUGCUUAACACAUGCAAGUCGAGCGGUAAGGCCCUUUCGGGGGUACACGAGCGGCGAACGGGUGAGUAACACGUGGGUGACCUGCCCUCAGCUCUGGGAUAAGCCUGGGAAACUGGGUCUAAUACCGGAUAUGACUCCAUGACGCAUGUUGUGGGGUGGAAAGCCUUGUGCGGCUGAGGAUGGGCCCGCGGCCUAUCAGCUUGUUGGUGGGGNGAUGGCCUACCAAGGCGACGACGGGUAGCCGGCCUGAGAGGGCGACCGGCCACGACUGGGACUGAGACACGGCCCAGGACUCCUACGGGAGGCAGCAGUGGGAAUCUUGCGCAAUGGGCGAAAGCCUGACGCAGCGAC
rnacentral:rRNA from 1 species